rnacentral:rRNA from 1 species
UACGUAGGGGGCAAGCAUUGUCCGGAUUUAUUGGGCGUAAAGAGCUCGUAGGCGGUUCGGCAAGUCGGGUGUGAAACCCCCAGGCUCAACCUGGGGACGCCACCCGAUACUGCUGUGACUUGAGUCCGGUAGGGGAGACUGGAAUUCCUGGUGUAGCGGUGAAAUGCGCAGAUAUCAGGAGGAACACCCGUGGCGAAGGCGGUUCUCUGGGACGGUACUGACGCUGGAGACGCGAAAGCGUGGGAGCGAACAGG